AGUGUAAUACCCAUGGAAGCAUU
rnacentral:miRNA from 1 species